AAGAGACAAACUUGAGUGUCAUAGCUGUUUUCAGGGCUUCUUCCAAGUUGUUCAAAAAGGUUUGAGCGUUUGAAGAAGGCACGAUUUUUGCUGGCCUUGCUGUGAUUGAUGCUUACAGCUACAGAGACAAGUGGCCAUGAAUGACUUUGGUGCCGAAACUUUUUGGCUCCACUUGUUAACAUAUGGAGCUAUAUGAGCAAGAUGCUGAUGUUGUCAAUUACACAAUCCAGAGCAAAACUACUGCUUGAAGUUAAUGGAAAACCAUGUAUAUCUUCAUUUUGAUUAGUGACUCUUCGUCUACUUGAGGAGCAGAAAGUAACAUUAUGUUUGCUGAUUAAUUUGCCUGCUUCAUCUCUUAAUGCAUAUAUGUGAUCCACUGCUAGCUGACCGCCAUCCUUCCACUCUCUCUUACUCUUAUUUGAACUUGAGUUUUAAGUAUCUUAAUAUUCUCUUGGGACUGUGAUGGAACUUCUUUAUAUGUGAUCCGCUGAAAGCUCAGUGCCACCAUCCAUCUCUUACUCUUAAUUUAACUCGACUUUUAGUAUCUUAAUAUUCUCUUGGGACUGUGAUGAAACUUCCUAAACCAAUUAAUGGACCAGCAGAAUAUUUUCUCUCAAGUGCCAUCUAGAAAGGUAUAUUCUUGGUUAUGCAGUAUCUGUUUUUAUGCUUCAAAUUAGAGCAUGCCGCAGUGACAUUUGUGUUGUUUUCUUUUGUGCCUUACUUCAUUAUUAUGUAUUAAUGCAAAGGAUAGAUGUCAUACGAUUUAUAGUCUCUUAUAGAAGUGUUGUUACUGGUAAUUUAGGAGGAAUUCUUUUAUUUGCAAGUUUUGUUGUUGAUAUAUCAUUUUUCAGUAAUACUUGUAACAUGCGUUUAUUUGAUUCUACAAGUGAAGCAUGUCACUUGGUAUAUGUGAUUCAUACUUGUCCUUUACAAGAGCGAGGGCUAGAGUUUGAAUUUGGUUUGCUAAUUUCGUGCAAAGUAGAUAACCUCAUAUCGAUAAGGAUUGUGUGGGAAUCAAAAGUUUAAGUAGGAUUUAAAUGCUCAAUUAAAACAUAUGUUGGCUGCUAAUGUGUGUUUUUUGAUGAUAUUUUAGAACCUAAUGGUAGCGUACCUAUCUUCAUAUUCGUCUCUUCUAGUUUCUAACG